UACGUAGGGGGCUAGCGUUGUUCGGAAUUACUGGGCGUAAAGCGUGCGCAGGCGGCUUCUCAAGUCAGGGGUGAAAGCCCAGAGCUCAACUCUGGAACUGCCUUUGAGACUGAGAGGCUUGAGUACGGGAGAGGUGAGGUGGAAUUCCCAGUGUAGAGGUGAAAUUCGUAGAUAUUGGGAAGAACACCGGUGGCGAAGGCGGCUCACUGGCCCGUAACUGACGCUCAUGCACGACAGCGUGGGGAUCAAACAGG
rnacentral:rRNA from 1 species